rnacentral:rRNA from 1 species
UUAAGCGACUAAGCGUACACGGUGGAUGCCCUGGCAGUCAGAGGCGAUGAAGGACGUGCUAAUCUGCGAUAAGCGUCGGUAAGGUGAUAUGAACCGUUAUAACCGGCGAUUUCCGAAUGGGGAAACCCAGUGUGAUUCGUCACACUAUCAUUAACUGAAUCCAUAGGUUAAUGAGGCGAACCGGGGGAACUGAAACAUCUAAGUACCCCGAGGAAAAGAAAUCAACCGAGAUUCCCCCAGUAGCGGCGAGCGAACGGGGAGCAGCCCAGAGCCUGAAUCAGUGUGUGUGUUAGUGGAAGCGUCUGGAAAGGCGCGCGAUACAGGGUGACAGCCCCGUACACAAAAAUGCACAUGCUGUGAGCUCGAUGAGUAGGGCGGGACACGUGGUAUCCUGUCUGAAUAUGGGGGGACCAUCCUCCAAGGCUAAAUACUCCUGACUGACCGAUAGUGAACCAGUACCGUGAGGGAAAGGCGAAAAGAACCCCGGCGAGGGGAGUGAAAAAGAACCUGAAACCGUGUACGUACAAGCAGUGGGAGCACAGAGCAAUCUGUGUGACUGCGUACCUUUUGUAUAAUGGGUCAGCGACUUAUAUUCUGUAGCAAGGUUAACCGAAUAGGGGAGCCGAAGGGAAACCGAGUCUUAACUGGGCGUUAAGUUGCAGGGUAUAGACCCGAAACCCGGUGAUCUAGCCAUGGGCAGGUUGAAGGUUGGGUAACACUAACUGGAGGACCGAACCGACUAAUGUUGAAAAAUUAGCGGAUGACUUGUGGCUGGGGGUGAAAGGCCAAUCAAACCGGGAGAUAGCUGGUUCUCCCCGAAAGCUAUUUAGGUAGCGCCUCGUGAAUUCAUCUCCGGGGGUAGAGCACUGUUUCGGCAAGGGGGUCAUCCCGACUUACCAACCCGAUGCAAACUGCGAAUACCGGAGAAUGUUAUCACGGGAGACACACGGCGGGUGCUAACGUCCGUCGUGAAGAGGGAAACAACCCAGACCGCCAGCUAAGGUCCCAAAGUCAUGGUUAAGUGGGAAACGAUGUGGGAAGGCCCAGACAGCCAGGAUGUUGGCUUAGAAGCAGCCAUCAUUUAAAGAAAGCGUAAUAGCUCACUGGUCGAGUCGGCCUGCGCGGAAGAUGUAACGGGGCUAAACCAUGCACCGAAGCUGCGGCAGCGACGCUUAUGCGUUGUUGGGUAGGGGAGCGUUCUGUAAGCCUGCGAAGGUGUGCUGUGAGGCAUGCUGGAGGUAUCAGAAGUGCGAAUGCUGACAUAAGUAACGAUAAAGCGGGUGAAAAGCCCGCUCGCCGGAAGACCAAGGGUUCCUGUCCAACGUUAAUCGGGGCAGGGUGAGUCGACCCCUAAGGCGAGGCCGAAAGGCGUAGUCGAUGGGAAACAGGUUAAUAUUCCUGUACUUGGUGUUACUGCGAAGGGGGGACGGAGAAGGCUAUGUUGGCCGGGCGACGGUUGUCCCGGUUUAAGCGUGUAGGCUGGUUUUCCAGGCAAAUCCGGAAAAUCAAGGCUGAGGCGUGAUGACGAGGCACUACGGUGCUGAAGCAACAAAUGCCCUGCUUCCAGGAAAAGCCUCUAAGCAUCAGGUAACAUCAAAUCGUACCCCAAACCGACACAGGUGGUCAGGUAGAGAAUACCAAGGCGCUUGAGAGAACUCGGGUGAAGGAACUAGGCAAAAUGGUGCCGUAACUUCGGGAGAAGGCACGCUGAUAUGUAGGUGAAGUCCCUCGCGGAUGGAGCUGAAAUCAGUCGAAGAUACCAGCUGGCUGCAACUGUUUAUUAAAAACACAGCACUGUGCAAACACGAAAGUGGACGUAUACGGUGUGACGCCUGCCCGGUGCCGGAAGGUUAAUUGAUGGGGUCAGCGCAAGCGAAGCUCUUGAUCGAAGCCCCGGUAAACGGCGGCCGUAACUAUAACGGUCCUAAGGUAGCGAAAUUCCUUGUCGGGUAAGUUCCGACCUGCACGAAUGGCGUAAUGAUGGCCAGGCUGUCUCCACCCGAGACUCAGUGAAAUUGAACUCGCUGUGAAGAUGCAGUGUACCCGCGGCAAGACGGAAAGACCCCGUGAACCUUUACUAUAGCUUGACACUGAACAUUGAGCCUUGAUGUGUAGGAUAGGUGGGAGGCUUUGAAGUGUGGACGCCAGUCUGCAUGGAGCCGACCUUGAAAUACCACCCUUUAAUGUUUGAUGUUCUAACGUGGACCCGUAAUCCGGGUUGCGGACAGUGUCUGGUGGGUAGUUUGACUGGGGCGGUCUCCUCCUAAAGAGUAACGGAGGAGCACGAAGGUUGGCUAAUCCUGGUCGGACAUCAGGAGGUUAGUGCAAUGGCAUAAGCCAGCUUGACUGCGAGCGUGACGGCGCGAGCAGGUGCGAAAGCAGGUCAUAGUGAUCCGGUGGUUCUGAAUGGAAGGGCCAUCGCUCAACGGAUAAAAGGUACUCCGGGGAUAACAGGCUGAUACCGCCCAAGAGUUCAUAUCGACGGCGGUGUUUGGCACCUCGAUGUCGGCUCAUCACAUCCUGGGGCUGAAGUAGGUCCCAAGGGUAUGGCUGUUCGCCAUUUAAAGUGGUACGCGAGCUGGGUUUAGAACGUCGUGAGACAGUUCGGUCCCUAUCUGCCGUGGGCGCUGGAGAAUUGAGGGGGGCUGCUCCUAGUACGAGAGGACCGGAGUGGACGCAUCACUGGUGUUCGGGUUGUCAUGCCAAUGGCACUGCCCGGUAGCUAAAUGCGGAAGAGAUAAGUGCUGAAAGCAUCUAAGCACGAAACUUGCCCCGAGAUGAGUUCUCCCUGACUCCUUGAGAGUCCUGAAGGAACGUUGAAGACGACGACGUUGAUAGGCCGGGUGUGUAAGCGCAGCGAUGCGUUGAGCUAACCGGUACUAAUGAACCGUGAGGCUUAACCUU